UAGUGGCGUGAAGCAGUGGCGAUGAGGCUUUUAUUUUGAAAAGCUCCAACCAGAAAUAGCAUUUCUCUGUCGGAGAGACUCCAACAGCUCUGUAACGACAAGGUGCCGCUGCACAGCCUCGCUGCGUGGGACAAUUGUGACAGAAACUACGACACACUGCAGUAAAUACACACGCUCAUGUUUCUCAUUUGCCUGUGAAUGGUGCUUGAAUGGUAACAUUACAUUCUGAAUACGUAUCAGAUUGACGGAAGCUAAACUAGUAGCUUGCUACCUGGCUAGCUUAAAUGAAACACCACCAGUACCAUGAAAUACCACCCAGCGGGUUGAGCAUCUCUGAGAGUCAACAGCACAGUGCACCUGGACAUCUCCCCAGCGGUGGAUCUGUCCCUGUCCCACCUCCCCUGGACCUCCCUGCUUCAGUGGACAGAAUAAUGCAAACACCAUGUGACAGAGGAUCUUGGAGCAGCUAGCUGCAGAGCCUGCCUGCCUGCCUGUCUGUCAGCUGGGAUUUGCUGUCUUCAUGGCAAGAUGAGCGACCUGACAGAGUUCGAAAGAUGCCAAAUAGUCGCUGCUCGUCUAUCUGGUGCAUCCGUCACAAAAACUGCCCAGCUGUUUAAUGUUGCCAGGGGAACGGUCUCCAGAGUCAUGACUGUGUAUGUCAAACACGGACGAACAGCAUCAGCCAAGAAGAACAGCGGGCGCAAGUCAAAGCUCACCGAAAAGGAUAGACAGACACUUCUGAGGAUAGUGGAUGAACACCCUGAGUACACAGCCUCGAAAAUAACCACAGAGCUGAACAGAAACCUCUCUCACACAGUCUCAGUAAAGACGAUACGGCGUGAGCUUCACAAAGCAGGUAUUUUCAGAGGAGCGGCCACUCGGAAACCGGAGGCAGACACCGACACAGAUACAAUGAUCGCUAGACCUGAACCUGAUACACAGAAAUCUGGUGAAGAGAGAGCAAGAGCUAAACUGCAGACAAAUGACACACAAAAGCCCAUGGAAGACAAAACAGUCUAUGAAACUUGGUCUGGUGUCGAAAAUAAUAUCACAGAAACAGCUGAAGAGCGAAUACAGCCUGAAGUCCCAGUCAGUGGAGAAGAGGACUGCACACAAAAGCCUGGUGGAGAGAGCACAGGAGCAAGAUGAGUGUAAAGGAAUAACAUGGUGUGAUUGGGUUAUAUCUGGCUGUUGUAAAGUCCAGAUGGGUCGUGUUUAGGGAAACCACAGAAUGCCUUCAUCCCUCAAAGGCGCCUACUGCCCAAGUAUUUGUAAUAACAUGUCAGUUUUUAGAUUUGGUUAUUUAUUCUGUGCGAGUGCAUCAUGGUGCAGUAUUCAGACUUUUCCCAAGCACUUUCAUUUUUCCAGGUUUACAAGCAAACGUAUCUUAAAUUUACUGUCAAGAAUUGGCCUUAAUAGUUGAAAAUAUCCAUAUUGUGGAUAUUUGACAGUAUAUCGUAUCAAUCGAUGCAAAAAGCCCAAUUCAGUACAGUUAAAGCAGCUAUAUGGGGCUCAUGUUCUGUUGAUUCCAGCGACCCCUGUAGGGAAAAAAAGCAUCAUCAGCACCAUAUUACCCUUUAUUUUAAUUUCAUUGACACUGUGGCUGUGGAUGAGUAGUAACUGUAAAAUGACGAUGGUAAAACAAAGUAAACUUUAAGUGGUUUCAUGUAAGCCCACAGCUAACAGGUUUGGUUGCUCAGUGAGAGUGAUUUGGUUGAGAAAGCUAUAUUUAACAGUUCCCACGAAUGCAUCGAAUUUCAGGGAAGUCCGACCUGAUGACAGGCAUUUGAAACAGCCAGUCUCCUCACUGAUGGUCUUGUUUGCUGAUGUAGAUCAUACAGAGGCAUCACUCCCAGUUUUUGUAAUGUGAUGUUUGCACCACACAUUAAAACAGUUGACAGAGAAAUACAAA